ACAGACCAGUUGAGGGUCUAGAAUAGAGGCAUAUCCACUUAAAACUAGAUCUGUGUGUUCUUGUAUCUUGUUGAUUUCAAUGAAUCAAAUUUUUUGUUAUGUUCUUCUUUUGUUGAAUUGAUUUCAUUAUUUUUUAAGUUAAAUUUUGGUUUGGAUCUAUAGAAAAUAGCAGAGAUUGUGUGUAUCGGAAUUUUGCUUAUUUCUUGCAAUUUAAUCCGAAAGAUUUCUCUGCGAGAUUGAUGUUGGUGAAGGUGGGCAGUUGAGUUUCAUAAUUUUCUAUUGAUUCAAUCAACAAUCAUUUUCUCCAUAUUUUUUGAACUUUCCUGAUUUAGUUAGGUCUUGUUGUUUGAGUUCUUCUAAAACUGGAUCUCCUUUCUAGUAUACAACUUUAUUUGCCGGAAUACUCUAAUCGGGGAAUACAUCAGAAAGUACGUCAUUGUCGGAAUCUGAACGAUUUUCCAGAUUAGGUUCUUUUGCGAUUUGGUUGUGUUCCAUAGAGCAAGUGUUUUGAGGUUGGAGUUAGAUUGGUAGCAUGAAUCGGAGUUAAAUCACUUUGUCAAGCUUUGUACUUCUUUGAGCAUGACUUUGAGAAUACAUCAGAGAAUACAUCAGAAAGUAUGUCAUUGUCGGGAUCUGAACGAUUUUCCAGAUUAGGUUCUUUUGCAAUUUGGUUGUUUUCCAUAGAGCAAGUGUUUUGAGGUUGGAGUUACAUUGGUAGCAUGAAUCGGAGUCGAAUCACUUUCUCAAGCUUUGUACUUCUUUGAGCAUGGCUGUAAGUUUUUCUUGAAUUGAUUAAUCAAAACCCUAAUUAUUUUCUAUGUUGGUAUUAACAUUAUUCAUGAAUUAAUUUGUUUAUUUCAA